UUUCCGUAGGUGAACCUGCGGAAGGAUCAUUACCUAGAGUUGUAGGCUUUGCCUGCUAUCUCUUACCCAUGUCUUUUGAGUACCUUCGUUUCCUCGGUGGGUUCGCCCGCCGAUUGGACAAAACUUAAACCCUUUGUAAUAGCAAUAUUCGUCUGAAAAACAACCAAUAAUCAAAACUUUCAACAAUGGAUCUCUUGGUUCUGGCAUCGAUGAAGAACGCAGC
rnacentral:misc_RNA from 1 species